AGAAUAAUUUCUGGUGUUCUUUUGCAUAGUAGGGUGACUAUAGUUAAAAACAAUGUAUUGUACAUUUCAAAAUAGUUAGAUGAUUUUGAAUGAUCUCACCAUAAAGAGAACAAAUGUUUAAGGUGAUAGAUAAUAAUUACCCUGAUUUUGCCCCCCCCCACAGCCCGACACGCCGUGGCCCUCCAGUCUCCCGCGGCUGCCUCCCCCAGGCAUGGCACAGGGCCUCGCCUCACUAUGGCAGCAGCACAGCACGCUCAACUUCAUGCUCGGCACCAAAGCUGAUGGCGAGACCAUUCUAAAAGGCCUCCAGUCCAUUUCCAGGAGCAGGGGAUGGCAGAGUCGGUGCAUACCUGGCAGGACCACUGCUAUUUAGCAACCUACACAAACAAAAACAGCAGCUUUGCCAAUUUAAGAAUUUACCCACAUGGACUGGUGUUACUGGACCUUCAGAGUUAGGACAGUGACGCACAGAGCAAAGAAGAAAUUGACACUCUUUUGAACAAAGUUGAAGAAAGAAUGAAAGAAUUGAACCAAGACGGUACUGGAUGAGUGAAGCGAUUACCACCCAUAGUUCGAGGAAGGGCCAUCAACAGAUACUGGCCCACCGCUGAUGGGUGCCUGGUUGAAUACAACACAGAUGAAGUGGUGUAUGAUGAAGAUUCACCUUGUCAGAAUUAAAACUCUACACUCAAAGCAAUUUGGGAAUAUUCUCAUCCUUAGUGGGGAUGUUAAUUUGGCAGAGUGACUUGGCGUAUACCCGGGCCAUCAUGGGCAGUGGCAAAGAUUACACUGGCAAAGACGCAUUGGUUCUGGGAGGUGGAGAUGGGGGCAUAUUAUGUGAAAUAGUCAAAGUGAAACCAAAGAUGGUUGCUAUGGUAGAUAGAGACUGACCAAAUGGUGAUUGAUGUAUGUAAGAAAUAUAUGUGAAAAACUUGAGGUGAUGUCUUAGACAAUCUUAAAGGAGACUGCUAUCAGGUUCUAAUAGAAGACUGUAUUCCAAUACUGAAGAGGUACACCAAAGAAGGGAGAAAGUCUGAUUAUGUGAUUAAUGAUUUGAUGGCUGUUCCAAUCUCCACAAGAAGAUUCCACAUGGGAGUUUCUCAGACUGAUUCUUUUUUUUGAGGCAGAACUGAUUCUUGACCUCUCAAUGAAAGUGUUGAAAAAGGAUGGGAAAUAUUUCACACAGGGGAACUGUGUCAAUCUGACAGAAGCCCUGUCGCUCUAUGAAGAACAGCUUGGGCGCCUGUAUUGUCCUGUGGAAUUUGAGAUUGUUUGUGUCCCUUCAUACUUGGAAUUGUGGGUAUUUUACACUGUGUGGAAGAAAGCUAAGCUUUAAAGAUGAAUAUCCCCUAUCAUGUGUACUGCAGAUAACCUUCCUGACCUCCAUAUGCUGUACAUGACAUCGAAAUGAGUCAGGCAAUUGAUUGUGAAUUUCUUGAAGUUUUCUUUAAUUAUUAUUUUUAAUUUUAAAAAAGCAAAUGGGAAAUGUAUAUUUUGAUGAGCUAGGGUAUUAUUUUUGUUGAAAGUCAGCUGAAGAACAGUUAGACAGCACAGUGAAGACUGCUAAAUGCACUGACCCCUAGAAUGUGAUUUUUGUUUUUAUUUCUGUGUGGGCUUUUUUUUGUUUUGGUAGACCUUCAAUUUGGAUGUUUGAGGAAUGAACAUCAUUGUUUUGUUCUGGAGGGAAGUUCUUGACGGUGUUUCUUUCCCCAAAAAUUGACUUAGAUAUUAAAAUUUGGUGCUUUUAAAAGUUUUAAAAAAAAUGAAUAGUAAUGCUUCAAUUAAAGUCGUAAAAGAGAAAAAAAA